rnacentral:rRNA from 1 species
UACGGGGGGGGGCAAGCGUUGUUCGGAAUUACUGGGCGUAAAGGGCUCGUAGGCGGCCAACUAAGUCAGACGUGAAAUCCCUCGGCUUAACCGGGGAACUGCAUCUGAUACUGGAUGGCUUGAGAUUGGGAGAGGGAUGCGGAAUUCCAGGUGUAGCGGUGAAAUGCGUAGAUAUCUGGAGGAACACCGGUGGCGAAGGCGGCAUCCUGGACCGAGAUUGACGCUGAGGCGCGAAAGCCAGGGGAGCAAACGGG